CAAUGUACAAUCUGACUGUGAUCUUGUAGGUGAUAAUUCCUGUUGAGACUUGGUCAGUUAUUCCCAACUUUAGGAUCAAGCCAACAUUUUACCUUUCUGACCAUUUAAGACAUUCAAGUUUAGGUGAUGCAUCUAAGAACUUGAACUAUUUUUAUGUUUUUUUCUUAAACAAAUGUAGACAAACUAUAAGCUAUAAAGGUAGAACAAAACCAUAAUUUAUUCAUUAUAAUAAAUAAUGUAUUUUGUAAACAUUUUAAUAAAUUGUGUAAGUGAACUGGAUUAACUGGCUGAACAGUGAUGUGAAUCCCGGUACUUGUUCUUUUUUUUUUUUUUUUUUUUGCUUUGAGUCACUAAAAUGAUUCCUUGAAAAAAUUGUAUUAUCAGAAAAAUACAACCUUAGUUAAUACAAAAUCCAGUUUUCAAAUGAUGAAAUAAUUAGUUCAGUAAUUAAGGGGAAUAAGCUAUCAAAACAACCUGGUCCUAUGCAAAAAAUAAUGACAUCACUUGUUAAAUCAUGAAUUAACUGAUUAACCCCACUUUUGGGAAUGCCAAGUUCAGUUUUACGAGCCACAGUCAGACACAUUUACAUCCAAAAAUGUAGAAUCAAUAAAGCACAAAAAUGUUUGAUGAUCUAAAACAUUUAAGCAAAAACAUAAGAAAUCUGUAAGUAAGUGGAUACUUUUACAGCCCUGCAGAUGUAGAAUUUGGCAAGCCAAAUUUUUGUCAGUACAUUAUAAUCAGCUGCUGAUCUUUUACCUGGUAAAAUACAAAAAUAACAAAGCAGGUCAUGUACUGUAAUCGAACCCUUUACUCACAAACGCUCUUUGCAGUAAAAUCUUUUUUAAGGAGUUCUGGGAAAAUAAAAACGGGUAAGAAUCAAGUCUUUUGUUGCCAAACUGGCUAAUUUGUUGUGAAUAAAUUACUAUUUGAACAGUUUGUUAGACAUAAUAAUCUAUAAUGAUUUCCUAAGUUUCUAUUUGCUAUAAGUUACUUCUAACAAUGUCUUAUGAUGAUUAGUAAAAUAAUUUUUUGUUCUCACAUACAUAAUAGAUUAGAUUAGAAACUGAGAAAGCAACUUAUUGCAGUCUUUAAUGUAGUCUCUGCAUUUACUUACAAAAUCAUAAUCAUGUUUUUUUUUUUAAUGAAGGCAGGAGAAGGUUUCUCUCUUAUCAUAAUUCAUCACAUCCCAGCCCUAAAUGUAACCCUCCCAGCUUCCCAUUCUACUUCCUUUAUCUCUGCUCCUAUUUUCUUGAUUAAAAUCAAAGCAUCAAUCAGAUAACCAUAGCUGGAAACAGCUUGAUCAAUAAGCUCUUUACCUCGUCUCCGAGAACUCAUUAAGGCUAGACUUACAGCCAUUAUAAAUCCUGAAACUUAUCCUUCUCCUCUCGCAUUAUCCCUCCUCCCUUUCCCUUUCGGCCAUGCUCCUCUAUGCAUCUUCAUCUAUAAAUAACAAAAAUACACAGACGACACAGAGCAGAGGGCAUCCAGAACAAGCAGCCCCGUUAACAGGAGGCAGGGCUGCGUGAUUGGCUCGUUGAUGUUCCAGUCGUCAUCAGGCAACCAAUCAGGUCAGAGAAAGGCGAACUUACUGCGACGAUGGACACGAAGCUGGCAAUAAGGGCUCAAAAACUCGUGCUAUUUCGCUAAACACCACAAGAGGGCAGUAUGGGAUGAUUGUUCACUCAGGCAGACAACCUACAGCGUGACUUCAGAAAUGCAGCUGGUGCCAGUGACGUGCUCUGUGGGAAAAUGAGCUGAGCUCGGGUCCUCGUUGAGUCCGCCAAGGUCACUUCCUGAAAUCCAUCCACUCAUCAAUACUGAGCUAUUCAGGGGGUCGAUAUGUUCCCAUUUCCUUCUAUGCCAGCCAGCACCAUGAAUGAGAGAUCAGCGUCAGAUUCCCCUGCAGCAAAAAUGAAAGAUACAGCAUCAUAAAAGCCAUACAAUGUAACAAAAUCCAGCUAACAACAGUCCGCCAUUUUAUGCUAUUGUUGUUGGGCUUGUUAUUUUUGGCUUCAGAUCGGACAGACCAUUAAAAGCUGAAGUCUUUUUUGA